rnacentral:rRNA from 1 species
UACGUAGGUGGCGAGCGUUGUCCGGAUUUACUGGGCGUAAAGGGCGUGCAGGCGGUUUGUUAAGUGCAGGGUGAAAGCUCCCGGCUCAACUGGGAGAGGUCCUUGCAUACUGGCGAACUCGAGGGAGGCAGAGGAAAGUGGAAUUCCCGGUGUAGUGGUGAUAUGCGUAGAUAUCGGGAGGAACACCUGUGGCGAAGGCGACCCCCUGGUUGGAUACUGACGCUGAGACGCGAAAGCGUGGGGAGCAAACAGG